rnacentral:rRNA from 1 species
GGGUUGUGAGGUUAAGCGACUAAGCGUACACGGUGGAUGCCCUGGCAGUCAGAGGCGAUGAAGGACGUGCUAAUCUGCGAUAAGCGCCGGUAAGGUGAUAUGAACCGUUAUAACCGGCGAUACCCGAAUGGGGAAACCCAGUGUGACUCGUCACACUAUCAUUAACUGAAUCCAUAGGUUAAUGAGGCGAACCGGGGGAACUGAAACAUCUAAGUACCCCGAGGAAAAGAAAUCAACCGAGAUUCCCCCAGUAGCGGCGAGCGAACGGGGAGGAGCCCAGAGCCUGAAUCAGCAUAUGUGUUAGUGGAAGCGUCUGGAAAGGCGCGCGAUACAGGGUGACAGCCCCGUACACAAAAGCGCAUGUGCUGUGAGCUCGAUGAGUAGGGCGGGACACGUGGUAUCCUGUCUGAAUAUGGGGGGACCAUCCUCCAAGGCUAAAUACUCCUGACUGACCGAUAGUGAACCAGUACCGUGAGGGAAAGGCGAAAAGAACCCCGGCGAGGGGAGUGAAAAAGAACCUGAAACCGUGUACGUACAAGCAGUGGGAGCACAGGUUUACCUGUGUGACUGCGUACCUUUUGUAUAAUGGGUCAGCGACUUAUAUUCUGUAGCAAGGUUAACCGAAUAGGGGAGCCGGAGGGAAACCGAGUCUUAACCGGGCGUUAAGUUGCAGGGUAUAGACCCGAAACCCGGUGAUCUAGCCAUGGGCAGGUUGAAGGUUGGGUAACACUAACUGGAGGACCGAACCGACUAAUGUUGAAAAAUUAGCGGAUGACCUGUGGCUGGGGGUGAAAGGCCAAUCAAACCGGGAGAUAGCUGGUUCUCCCCGAAAGCUAUUUAGGUAGCGCCUCGUGAAUUCAUCUCCGGGGGUAGAGCACUGUUUCGGCUAGGGGGCCAUCCCGGCUUACCAACCCGAUGCAAACUGCGAAUACCGGAGAAUGUUAUCACGGGAGACACACGGCGGGUGCUAACGUCCGUCGUGAAGAGGGAAACAACCCAGACCGCCAGCUAAGGUCCCAAAGUCAUGGUUAAGUGGGAAACGAUGUGGGAAGGCCCAGACAGCCAGGAUGUUGGCUUAGAAGCAGCCAUCAUUUAAAGAAAGCGUAAUAGCUCACUGGUCGAGUCGGCCUGCGCGGAAGAUGUAACGGGGCUAAACCAUGCACCGAAGCUGCGGCAGCGACGCUGAUGCGUUGUUGGGUAGGGGAGCGUUCUGUAAGCCUGCGAAGGUGGCCUGUGAGGGUUGCUGGAGGUAUCAGAAGUGCGAAUGCUGACAUAAGUAACGAUAAAGCGGGUGAAAAGCCCGCUCGCCGGAAGACCAAGGGUUCCUGUCCAACGUUAAUCGGGGCAGGGUGAGUCGACCCCUAAGGCGAGGCCGAAAGGCGUAGUCGAUGGGAAACGGGUUAAUAUUCCCGUACUUGGUGUUACUGCGAAGGGGGGACGGAGAAGGCUAUGUUGGCCGGGCGACGGUUGUCCCGGUUUAAGCGUGUAGGUGUGUGUUCCAGGUAAAUCCGGUUCACUUUAACACUGAGGCGUGAUGACGAGGCACUACGGUGCUGAAGCAACAAAUGCCCUGCUUCCAGGAAAAGCCUCUAAGCAUCAGGUAACAUCAAAUCGUACCCCAAACCGACACAGGUGGUCAGGUAGAGAAUACCAAGGCGCUUGAGAGAACUCGGGUGAAGGAACUAGGCAAAAUGGUGCCGUAACUUCGGGAGAAGGCACGCUGACACGUAGGUGAAGUGAUUUACUCAUGGAGCUGAAGUCAGUCGAAGAUACCAGCUGGCUGCAACUGUUUAUUAAAAACACAGCACUGUGCAAACACGAAAGUGGACGUAUACGGUGUGACGCCUGCCCGGUGCCGGAAGGUUAAUUGAUGGGGUCAGCGCAAGCGAAGCUCCUGAUCGAAGCCCCGGUAAACGGCGGCCGUAACUAUAACGGUCCUAAGGUAGCGAAAUUCCUUGUCGGGUAAGUUCCGACCUGCACGAAUGGCGUAAUGAUGGCCAGGCUGUCUCCACCCGAGACUCAGUGAAAUUGAACUCGCUGUGAAGAUGCAGUGUACCCGCGGCAAGACGGAAAGACCCCGUGAACCUUUACUAUAGCUUGACACUGAACAUUGAGCCUUGAUGUGUAGGAUAGGUGGGAGGCUUUGAAGUGUGGACGCCAGUCUGCAUGGAGCCGGCCUUGAAAUACCACCCUUUAAUGUUUGAUGUUCUAACGUGGACCCGUGAUCCGGGUUGCGGACAGUGUCUGGUGGGUAGUUUGACUGGGGCGGUCUCCUCCUAAAGAGUAACGGAGGAGCACGAAGGUUGGCUAAUCCUGGUCGGACAUCAGGAGGUUAGUGCAAUGGCAUAAGCCAGCUUGACUGCGAGCGUGACGGCGCGAGCAGGUGCGAAAGCAGGUCAUAGUGAUCCGGUGGUUCUGAAUGGAAGGGCCAUCGCUCAACGGAUAAAAGGUACUCCGGGGAUAACAGGCUGAUACCGCCCAAGAGUUCAUAUCGACGGCGGUGUUUGGCACCUCGAUGUCGGCUCAUCACAUCCUGGGGCUGAAGUAGGUCCCAAGGGUAUGGCUGUUCGCCAUUUAAAGUGGUACGCGAGCUGGGUUUAGAACGUCGUGAGACAGUUCGGUCCCUAUCUGCCGUGGGCGCUGGAGAACUGAGGGGGGCUGCUCCUAGUACGAGAGGACCGGAGUGGACGCAUCACUGGUGUUCGGGUUGUCAUGCCAAUGGCACUGCCCGGUAGCUAAAUGCGGAAGAGAUAAGUGCUGAAAGCAUCUAAGCACGAAACUUGCCCCGAGAUGAGUUCUCCCUGAGACUUAGAGUCUCCUGAAGGAACGUUGAAGACGACGACGUUGAUAGGCCGGGUGUGUAAGCGCAGCGAUGCGUUGAGCUAACCGGUACUAAUGAACCGUGAGGCUUAACCUUACAACGCCGAAG